UACAGAGGUCUCAAGCGUUGUUCGGAUUCAUUGGGCGUAAAGGGUGCGUAGGCGGCGCGGUAAGUCGGGUGUGAAAUCUCGGAGCCUAACUCCGAAACUGCAUUCGAUACUGCCGUGCUUGAGGACUGGAGAGGAGACUGGAAUUUACGGUGUAGCGGUGAAAUGCGCAGAUAUCAGGAGGAACACCGGUGGCGAAGGCGGGUCUCUGGGCCGAUACUGACGCUGAGGAGCGAAAGCGUGGGGAGCAAACAGG
rnacentral:rRNA from 1 species